rnacentral:SRP_RNA from 1 species
GCUGGGCGUGGUGGCACACGCCUGUAAUCCCAGCUACUAGGGAGGCUGAGGGAGGAGAAUCGCUCGAAUCUGGGAAGUGGAGGUCACAGUGAGCCAAGAUUGUGUCACUGCACUCCAGCCUGGAUGACAGAGCGAGACUCCCUCUCAA